rnacentral:lncRNA from 1 species
AUCACAGAUGUACUUUCUUCAUUCUCCUAAGUACUGAAUCAUCCACCCACAGUCUGCUAGCCUUGAGAAAUGCAGGAAAAGCGGGGGCAGUGUGGGGAUUGCUUUGCUCAUUUUGAUAGCCCCAGCAUCCAGCACCAAGGGAGCACAUUGUGGGCAUUUGUGAAACACUUGCUAAUGGAAAGAAUCAUGAAAGAAUGAAGAGUAGGGGCCGGGCGCGGUGGCUCAAGCGUGUAAUCCCAGCACUUUGGGAGGCCGAGGCGGAUGGAUCACGAGGUCAAGAGCUCGAGACCAUCUUGGUCAACAUGAUAAGACCCCGUCUCUACUAAAAAUACAAAAAAUUGGCUGGGCAUGGUGGCGCGUGUCUGUAAUCCUAGUCGCUCGGGAGGCUGAGGCAGGAGAACUGCCUGAAUCCAGGAGGCGGAGGGUUGCGGUGAGCCGAGAUUGCGCCAUUGCACUCCAGCCUGGGUCACAAGAGCGAAACUCCGUCUCAAAAAAAAAAAAAAAAAGAAUGAAGAGUAGAUGAAUCCUAAUGGCACAGAGCCUGAGGUCACAUCAGGAAACCCCUUCUCCAACCCUGCUUCCUUUCCUGUCAGACAGUGGUUGCAAUUGCAGACCUUAAUGCCAACUGUUUGUCAGCUGGGUUUCUGAGACCUUAAUGACUUCUGUGAUGCAGUAUUUUCCUGUUCUGGAUUGCUUGAGCUCCAGAUAUACGAGGUACCAUCAGCAUUUCAGAGACAUCAGUAUAAUAAGCCCAAGGGGAGAAUGAUGUGGCAAUUUCUAAAUUUCCUAGAAGUAUUGUUCAGGAUGGGCUUAAGCAGGCUGCCAUCCAUGUCACGCCACCACUGGGCACAUUUUGUUUUUUGGCAACUUCCCCAACAGGGUGGCUGGUGGGUCAGUGUUCACUUGAGAGAUCUGCAGAUGACUGGAACAAAUGCCUGUGGUGGAGAAGAAUACUAAAAAGGUGAAGUUGGCUCCUGCAGAAGGACUUGAGGGAAGGCAGAGAUGUAUAGUAUGAGGGAACUCACUUAGGGAAGUUUUUUUAGCUGUUGGACUCUCUGAGAAGGAUAAUGCAAGGACCAGAGAAAGAAAGGCUUCAUCUUACAAAGGACAUCACAUUUAAGGACAGGAAUCAAAUAAAGCUUGUUGUCUAAAGAGGAAAAGAAUAGACAAGCGUGCUAACAUUUCUUGUGUCUGUAAAGUAGCACUGGGGGAGGAAGGCAAGGGGACUUUCAGUAGAAGGACCACUCCGGCAAAAGCAUGGAGGGUCACCCCUAACUGCUGUGUGCCUCAGCUUCCUCAGGUGUGAAAUGCAAAUGAUAAGAGUAUCAUCCCAUCCUCCCUCAGAUGAUGAUGGGAAGGAUUAAAUGAAUUCAUGUAUGUAAAGACUUUAGAACAGUGCCUGGAACAUGAUAAGCAUUAAGCAGAUGUUCCCACUCUAAUGGUUAUUGCAAAAUUCAGAGUAACAGGAAAUCUUGAUCAAGAUUUCUAAAGUCAUUGGGAUGCUUAGAAUUUGCUGAGCAACUUCAACAACUGAGACUUUGACUUGAAUAAGAUGGAGAAAGGUCCAUGAUUUUGGAGAAUCUUCAUUUCUUUCCAGCUCCAGUAAUAACCCUGGCCUCUUUCCAACCCUUUAGUCACUGCUUCUCAGAAAAGAGGAGUGGCUUGUCUGAUUAGUAAACUUGGGAAAGGAACUUAGUUGGAAGAUGCCACUUUGUCCUUUCUCUUUUCUUUCACUUUUGGAUCCAGCUUUCCUGAGGAAAGUCUGAUUUCUCUGCUUCUACAUAUUACAAACCUGCAGGGUCAGGUCUGUGAUUGUCCAGAGUUGCCUGUUGCUGGCUGGACACAUUUGUCAAAAUCAGAGAGAAUGUAAGAAGCCUGUUGUGGCUAUAAUCUGCCCACUUUCAAAACAACCAUGUAUUUAUUAUAAGAAAGCUGAUAUUUUAAUGUCCAUUUCUCUGAUCUUGGGGGAAUUUGAAUCCAGGAGUGGAAAAGAAGGGUGUUAUUUUGUGGGCUUUCUAAAUAUGAAAGUUAAAAAUUAUACAAGGCACUAAAGUUUUCAUUUCAAAGCAAGUAAACGCUAUGUAAAAAAGAAAGUGUGCUAUUAUACCUAGGUGUCUAUUUCUUUUCUGUCUUGAUUAUUUUGGAUAUCUAAAUUUUUAUAUCUCACUUUCAUGGUGUAGCUGACUAAGCCAUUAGUAACUUUAAUAAAGUGUUCUAUUUUUACAAAAGGAUGUUUUCCUAACAUGUGCUCUAUCCAUGCCCAAUGAGUACUUGGUAGCCACCCAAAUGCAAGCCAAUUUCCAUAGUGGUAAUUAAUGACAACACUGCUAUUCCUAUCACAUUCAACUCUACGUCUCAAUUAAUAUUCCCAACAUACGGUGACCUAAUGAAUCACUUGUAUCUAGAAUGGUGCGUCUGUCCAAACCAGUGGUUCUUCACCAAGAGGGCAUACUUGAUUCACUUUGGGAGCUUUUAUAAACUAUGCAAGAACAUUCUACCCUUCCCUCACACAAUAUCCUAGCCACCUUAAGGUCAGAGUAAUCACCAAUUAAGUUAGAAAACAGACUGUAGAUUCUUCAUUUGGCUUA